CUCGGAGAUGUGUAUAAGAGACAGGUCCUGUAUGCGAAAUCUUAUUAAGUGUUAUACGAGUAGGACGGAACACGUGAAAUUCUGUCUGAAGAUGGGGGGACCACCCUCCAAGGCUAAAUACUCUCUACCGACCGAUAGUGAACCAGUACCGUGAGGGAAAGGCGAAAAGAACCCCGGGAGGGGAGUGAAAUAGAACCUGAAACCGUGUACGUACAAGCAGUGGGAGCCCCUCACUAAAGUGUCUUCACUUUAGUGAGCCAAGCAUACUAAAGACAAAAGCGCCGAUUUUGCAAACAAGGUUAAGUGCCCAUUUUUGACCCGAAGCCCAGUGUGGUUAAACUACAUGAGCAUCGGAAGCAAAAAGCGCACUUAAGAUUGGCAGCAAAAGCAAGCGGAAGAUGUUUUAGUGAGGGGUGACUGCGUACCUUUUGUAUAAUGGGUCAGCGACUUACUGUGUGUUGCGAGGUUAACCGAAUAGGGGAGCCGUAGGGAAACCGAGUCUUAAAUGGGCGAUAGUAGCAUGCAGUAGACCCGAAACCGAGCGAUCUAUCCAUGGCCAGGAUGAAGGUUGAGUAACAUCAACUGGAGGUCCGAACCCACUAAUGUUGAAAAAUUAGGGGAUGAGCUGUGGAUCGGAGUGAAAGGCUAAUCAAGCUCGGAGAUAGCUGGUUCUCCCCGAAAACUAUUUAGGUAGUGCCUCAUGUCUCACUGUUGGGGGUAGAGCACUGUUAUGGUCUAGCGGGCCGUCAAGGCUUAGCAGCCCAUUGCAAACUCCGAAUACCAACAAGUGCAAUCAUGGGAGACAGACAGCGGGUGCUAACGUCCGUUGUCAAGAGGGAAACAACCCAGACCGCCAAUUAAGGUCCCUAAACACUACUCAGUGGGAAAGGAUGUGGGAAGGCUUAGACAGUCAGGAGGUUGGCUUAGAAGCAGCCAUCCUUUAAAGAAAGCGUAAUAGCUCACUGAUCGAGUCGGCCUGCGCCGAAGAUUUAACGGGGCUAAGUAGUGUACCGAAGCUGUGGAUGCCAUUUAUGGCAUGGUAGAGGAGCGUCGUGUAAGCCUGCGAAGGGGUAUUGAAAAGUACCCUGGAGGUAUCACGAGUGCGAAUGCUGACAUGAGUAGCGAUAAAGGGAGUGAAAAGCUCCCUCGCCGAAAACCCAAGGUUUCCUGCGCAACGUUCAUCGGCGCAGGGUGAGUCGGCCCCUAAGGUAAGGCAGAAAUGCGUAGCUGAUGGGAAGCUGGUUAAUAUUCCAGCACCUUUAUUUAAUGCGAUGUGGGGACGAAGAAAGCUAGCUUAUCCGGGUGUUGGAUGUCCCGGUUGAAGCGUGUAGACAUGCUGCCUAGGCAAAUCCGGGCAGCUAAGUUGAGGCGUGAUAACGAAACUCCUUAGGGAGCCAAGUAAGUGAUGCUCUGCUUCCAGGAAAAGCCACUAAGCUUCAGUUAAAUAAAGACCGUACCGCAAACCGACACAGGUGGGUGGGAUGAGUAUUCUAAGGCGCUUGAGAGAACUCGGGAGAAGGAACUCGGCAAAUUGACACCGUAACUUCGGGAGAAGGUGUGCCUCCGGUAUGUGUAGCAUCUUGCAUGCGAAGCAGAAAGAGGUUGCAAUAAAAAGGUGGCUGCGACUGUUUAAUAAAAACACAGCACUCUGCAAACACGAAAGUGGACGUAUAGAGUGUGACGCCUGCCCGGUGCCGGAAGGUUAAGUGAUGGGGUGCAAGCUCUUGAUCGAAGCCCCGGUAAACGGCGGCCGUAACUAUAACGGUCCUAAGGUAGCGAAAUUCCUUGUCGGGUA
rnacentral:rRNA from 1 species